CCUGCUCUGGAAAGCGGCACGUUGCCACUGCUGGAUCGGGGCUGGCAGAGGUCUGUGUGUUCUGGAGGCAGAGGGAGGGCAAGCGAGCGCCGGGACUCGCAGGUGUGCUGGCGGAAGGUCCUCAACAAGUGCUGCAUUUCCUUCUCCUUUCACUUCUCUCCACUCUGAGUGUGUGUGUGGCUGGCGUGCAGAGGAAAAGUCAAACUAAUUCUGAUGCUUUUCCCUAUUCUGGGUGGACUAAGUCAGAGAAAGCACUUAGGGCAGCCUUUGUGGAAGGGUUACAAUAUAGGUUGAUACUUUAGGAACUAUAGGAAGUUCUUAAUCCUUCCCUGCCUACGGGACUGUCAUUUAUAGACCCGCUAUUGUCUCACUCAUCUUUUAUAAGGAUGUUUCCUUACAUUAAGGUUCCAAGAGCGACUGGACUUUGCCAUUGUUCACAGCUAUUUCGGUUUGGGGCUUAAUGCACAUCUAGUAUUCUGUUUAUGCUUUCACUGCUCUCCUACGCAGCAGACUGUACCUACACACUGGCUUAGGUGGCAUCAUUCUCAAAACGUUUAUUUCUGUGUUUCUUUUUUUUGUUUGUUUCUUUUUUUUUUUUUUUCUGAUUUGUCUGUGCGUCUUGAUUUUGCAUUAACCUACUUUAUUACAGGUAACAACAUAAAGCAUGUGGAACUUUAUGCAUUCAGUUGGUCAUUUCAAGUUCAGUUCUUGUUUGAUGAACAGGCACGCUUGCUUAUAAGAAAGCUUCUAUGUGUUGUUUUUUCUCCAGGUUAAAUUGCUUUUAUAUAAAAAAAUGUCUAUAUAUAACAAGAAUGAAUUCAGCCAUGAGCAGAAAAAAAUGGAGGUGUAGAUUAUUUUGGAUGUAUAAAAUUCAGCUUGAAGUUAGUGGUGGUUUAAUUACAGGAUUUUUUUUAUUGCUAUUCAUACAGACAUCCAUUGUUUUCUGCUUUGAUUUAUCUCCAGCUCAUCCCCUUCAGAACCCCAUUUCUGGCAAUCUCAGCAACAUGUGAGAGUCUGGCAGCUUCUGCAGACAUUGCCAUCUUCCCUUCACUGCUCCUUCUUCUGCGCUGUUACACCAGCUCCACAGCCUGUCAUUUCUCAGAAGCCCUUAAUGAUGCCUUGCCUCUGUCAUCUGCCCCAUGGCUCUUCCAGAAUCAGACACUUUUGUCAAAGUUUUUCAAACCAAUCUAGAAAUAGAUACUGAAAUAAAGGCAGGUGGUCUGGUGAUCAGGUGAUGUUCUGCCACUGCCUUCCUGCCCUGCCUUGGGCAGGUUACAGACCUCCAGAGCUCAGCUCUUUGUCCAUAAAAUAAUAACAACUUUGCAAAGUGCUUUUAUAUGUCUGAAAGAUUUGAUGCAAAUUAAAAGCUACCUAGAUUUUGUCAAACCUGGCUCUACCUAACACUCCACUUCUGUCUUCUGGCUGCUGAAGAUUUGCCGAUCCGCCUUUUAGAGUCAGGCUUUGGCUUCAGGCCUUGCAUGUAGCGACAUCUGGGCUUUUAAAUUACCCUUGUGUUCAUAACAUACAUAGCAGCUCUGAUGAUUUUUUUCCACAAGCAUUCUCAUUCUGCUGAAAAAAAAAACAAAAACCCAACCCUGAACAAACUACAAACAGCGUGAUGAUGAACGGUCUCGAGUGCCCGGUAACCUUUACAUGCUCCAGGCAGUGCCCAGCUUUAUCACGGUCACUAGUGGGCCAGCGCACAUCGAAACGUGUGAUCUAUUCCUUCCUGAGCCCCCGUUCCGCCUUGCUUAGCAGUUCCUCUCGCCGAUGGUGAAGAUAAACCAGUGAGUUUCAUUUUUGCUGAAAAAUUGUCUUUCACGCUUUCACGUUCUCACACACUGACAAGAUGCUACAAAACCCAUGUGACAGAGAUCAGAGGGAAACACUUAUUUGAAGGAAUCUUUGUCAUUAGCUGUACUGAUGUCUAACAAGAGUUGCAACGAGGAGGACUUUAUGGGAAUCUGUCCAUGACUUCUCAACAAAAAUGACAAAGGAGAUAACUCAAGAGGAAAUGAAACCUGUAUAAAAUUAAACAGCGAAUUCUGUGUGGAUCUGUGUGCACAUACAUGUGUGCAUGCAUGGACUGUUGCUGGCAUGCUUGUUUUCGUGGAAGAUUCAGUGAUGGAUGACUUAACAUAAACUUUAAGUGCAUGGCAGACUGGUUUUGUGUGGUGCCUGCUGCUUGUUUCAUGAGCUGCUCUUUCCCAUCCCAAGCAAGCGUAACGCCUUGCAGCGCUGUCAGCACCCCACCAGCCUUGUGACAGUUGAGGAUGUGCUACUGAAUUCCGGGAGCUCUUUUCCCACUGCUGACUUGGAGCAGAAGCGACUUUGGUGGCGAAGGGGUUGCACUGGGGCCAGCCGGGCUCUUGGGGUGCAGCACAUCAGCAGGAGCCCCUGGAGUUCCUGCAGGUGUUGAACAUCCGAGGGGUCUCUGGCAGUGUUGCAUCCACAUCCAUCACAUGCAUCCAGGAGCGUGAGCGUGGUGGGUGUUUGCUCGUCCGGCUGCUGGACACAUGGUGACCGGGGCUGGGGAGAGCAGUUCUGGAGCUGGUCUGGGUGCUGGGGUUAUCGAGUCCACCCCAUCCCUACAGCUCUGCACAGCCCCCUGGCCUGUGGGAAAGUGUGCACAAAGUUUCUUCUAAACGAGAGUUUAAUACGCUUUCAGACUUGACAACCUCCUUUUAAAUGAAAACAUUUAUAUUGAGCAAAAGGCACAUUUGCCUCUCCAAAUAAAUGGAAUUAUAGUUCCAAGAUCUGACUUAAUCCUGAAGCUCUUACACUGUACAGUAAGUAGAAAAGAAAGAGGAUUGCUCGGAGGAGCAAGGGUUAGCAGGAUCAGGCUCCAUUUUAUAUAAUCUUGCUCAUUUUCCUUCUGAUAUUUAAUAUACCUAUUUCAGAACUCCCACUGGCUGUAUAUACUUCACAUCUAUUACCUAACGGCAAACAAACUAAUAAUUGAAAUGAAUGAGGCAUGGUACGGAGAGUGCCCAUCCAGCUUUCCUGCUAGGAAAAUUUCAGGAUUGUUAAAGAAACCAAAAAUGCCAUUCUUCCAGAUGUAUUUUUAUCAUAAGGUCAUGUCCUUUUAAAACUAGUUUCAGGACUUUUCUCAAAUGUGUUGUAACUAUUUGUUCUUUUCCUACAUUGUUUUCUUCAUGAAAAUGUAUUUAAAAUCUACAUUGACAUUUCAAAGGAUUUGAGGGAAGAUGUUUACAAAGGGUGCCGUUUGUAUUUGUUAUAUUUCUAAAAAUGGAACUUCUGAUCAGAAAACAUUAAAAUAUUUUUUGUAUUACCUUUUGUGGUUUUAUGACAUUUGUGUAUUUCUAGUUAUGAUUUUGGUACCCAAUCCCAUGUUACGAGGCUAAUUAAGGAAAGUGGGAUCAAAAGUUCUAUUGUUCCU